AGUGAACGCUGGCGGUAGGCCUAACACAUGCAAGUCGAACGGCAGCACAGUAAGAGCUUGCUCUUACGGGUGGCGAGUGGCGGACGGGUGAGGAAUACAUCGGAAUCUACUUUUUCGUGGGGGAUAGCGUAGGGAAACUUACGCUAAUACCGCAUACGACCUACGGGUGAAAGCAGGGGAUCUUCGGACCUUGCGCGAUUGAAUGAGCCGAUGUCGGAUUAGCUAGUUGGCGGGGUAAAGGCCCUCCAAGGCGACGAUCCGUAGCUGGUCUGAGAGGAUGAUCAGCCACACUGGAACUGAGACACGGUCCAGACUCCUACGGGAGGCAGCAGUGGGGAAUAUUGGACAAUGGGCGCAAGCCUGAUCCAGCCAUACCGCGUGGGUGAGGAAGGCCUUCGGGUUGUAAAGCCCUUUUGUUGGGAAAGAAAAGCAGCAGGUUAAUACCCCGCUGUUCUGACGGUACCCAAAGAAUAAGCACCGGCUAACUUCGUG
rnacentral:rRNA from 1 species